rnacentral:rRNA from 1 species
CGCAAGCCUGACGGAGCAAGACCGCGAGCGGGAUGACGGCCUAAUGGUUGCAAACCGCUUUUCUCUGGGAAGAUGAUGACGGUACCAGAGGAAUCAGCCUCGGCUAACUCCGUGCCAGCAGCCGCGGUAAUACGGAGGAGGCAAGCGUUAUCCGGAAUUAUUGGGCGUAAAGCGUCCGUAGGUGGUUAUUCAAGUCUGCUGUCAAAGCGUGGGGCUUAACUCCAUAGAGGCAGUGGAAACUGGAUGACUUGAGUGCGGUAGGGGUCGAGGGAAUUCCCAGUGUAGCGGUGAAAUGCGUAGAUAUUGGGAAGAACACCAGUGGCGAAAGCGCUCGACUGGGCCUGCACUGACACUGAGGGACGAAAGCUAGGGGAGCG